AUUGAACGCUGGCGGUAUGCUUAACACAUGCAAGUCGAACGAGAAAGCCCGGCUUCGGUUGGGCGAGUAAAGUGGCGAACGGGUGAGUAACACGUGGGCAAUCUACCCUUAAAUCUGGGAUAAUCCUCCGAAAGGAGGUCUAAUACCGGAUAAUACCUCCGGAUGGCAUCAUCUGAAGGUCAAAGGCGGGGCAACCUGCUGUUUAGGGAUGAGCCCGCGCCCCAUUAGCUUGUUGGUGAGGUAACGGCUCACCAAGGCUGCGAUGGGUAGCCGGCCUGAGAGGGUGAUCGGCCACACUGGGACUGAGAUACGGCCCAGACUCCUACGGGUGGCAG
rnacentral:rRNA from 1 species